rnacentral:rRNA from 1 species
UGAGGAAUAUUGCACAAUGGGCGAAAGCCUGAUGCAGCAACGCCGCGUGAGGGACGAAGGCCUUCGGGUCGUAAACCUCUUUUCUGAGGGAAGAGACAGGACGGUACCUCAGGAAUAAGUCUCGGCUAACUACGUGCCAGCAGCCGCGGUAAAACGUAGGAGGCGAGCGUUAUCCGGAUUUACUGGGCGUAAAGCGCACGCAGGCGGCUUCGUUAGUCGGAUGUGAAAGCUCCUGGCUUAACUGGGAGAGGCCAUUCGAUACUGCGGGGCUUGAGGUUGGGAGAGGGGUGUGGAAUUCCCGGUGUAGUGGUGGAAUGCGUAGAUAUCGGGAGGAACACCAGUGGCGAAGGCGGCACCCUGGCCCACACCUGACGCUGAGGUGCGAAAGCGUGGGUAGCAAACA